UAUGUUUGCUCGUGGGCUAAUUUUUUAUUUUCAGAGCUAAAGCCACAACAAUUGUAUAAACCUGAUUAGAAUCAAAAUGUGUAAUCAUUUUCCGCUGUUUAUAACACAUAAUUCCCCUAAUCGAAACAUCUCUGACGUAUCUUAUUAUAUAGUUGCGCCUUCGAUCCUUUUCCUCUUAUUAUUGUAUGCUACAGAAUAAACAUUUACCUAAUUAUUUCAUUCAAUAGUCAACGUUUGUGUCGUGUUACCUGGCAGCUUUGAUGCAUAAACAAUCUAUUGAUGCGUAUAUGCGGCCUAUAUCAUAGACUGUCUAGGCUGACUACUGACCUUGUAGAUAAAGUCAAGAAAUGAAGAAAAGUAUAUUUUAUUUUAGAACCAAACACACUUGGUUUGAAAUAUAAGUCUGAACUUGUCGAACACCUUUGGGAUAAACAUCCCACGUCGGCAAUAUAAAAGAAAUUUAAAUAAUAUUUAAGAGACUUGGACCAUUAUAUUAAUUGUCAAUUGGUUUUAAAUUGGAAACUCAGGAAAAUUGUCAUGGUAUCAGAGUGGAUCCAACAUCCUGACACAUUAAUCCAGCCCGGACAGUAGCCCGAUCAUCCUAUUAGCUGAUGGCCGAUAGAAGGUUCAGUUCCACCGAAAUAGCUAGAAAAUAAAGCAUGGUCUCGAAAAGGGCAUGAUGGAUUCUGCGAAAUUAAUGUUUAUACGCACCAUUAUCUCGAAGAACGAUGUUGGGAUAAAGAUCUCACAUUGGAAAUAUGAAAGAAAGUUGACUUAACGCCAAGGGGUUCUAUAUAUGGAUUAGCAAUUUUCCACUUCUCCACGAAAAACAAUAUAAGUAAAUAAAUUCCAUUUCUCCACUCUUUUUUUUUUGCCUUCUAAUAAUAUUAUUAUUAAAGGAACAAAAGACCAAACACAAAACAAAAGCCCAGAGAUAGGAUUCCAAACAUACACCCAAACAUAAACUAAAACUUAAAGGUCCACACACUGGCCCAACUUACAAACGAGCCCAAAAUUGGUCCAAACCAUAACGCGUGAUACCAUUUUUGUCACGCCGAAAGAGAUGUGUUGAAGCCUCAACAAUGAGGCACGACACACGUCACGAAAGCCCACACCGCCACCACCAAAGAAAAUCACGCCGGAAACUGAACGGCAUUUCAUCGAACCUCGCCGGGAACAAGCGCUUACCCAACGUACCGCUUCAUCACCUUUGCUUCUUUCACCGGAGAGCGUCAAUCGAAAAUUCGAGAACUCAUCCAGAAACGAAGCCACCACACACACGAUUAGAAAUCCCUCACUCACUCUUCAUACACCAACAUCGCUUAAUUUCAGAUCAUCGGAGAACAUCAAUCGAUCAAUAUCGAGAUCUCAUCCGUCUCAUCAAGCCAUCAACUACGAAAUCAACCGAGUCACCACUCGGGAAAACCAAAGGAGCCAAAAACAGAGCCGUCAUCAAAACGAGAGUAUCGUACGAUGCGAGAAGGAGCCGGCGAGAAAGAUGCUAAGGGAGUUACCUUCUCCCGGAUACAACAGCCGGCAAAGCCUGCUUAAGGAGCAACGGCUUCCCAGAAGCAAAAGUCCAACAAAACGGAAAUCAAAAAACCGAUCGAACACCCAUGAGAUGAGACGAAGAAGGAUGCGAAGAGAGCGAGAAGUCCUCCACUUCUUCACUCUACACAAAGGGAAAAAGAGAAAAUAAAUAUAUUAAAUGGUAGGAGGCUUGAAGUUUCGAAAUUGUCACAAUUUUUUUAAAUUAAAAACCGAUAUUUUCACUGCAUAAUUUGGGAGAAAAUACGAUCCGGUACAUGGACACUUGAGUUUCUUUUUUCGAACAAAUCUCAGUGAAUAUUGGACUGCUUAUCGGACCUAUAAUUUUUUUUUUUUUGGUUUUCUUCUAGCAGCUUCUACAAAGACAUAGAUACCCCUGUAUAGAAAUGAGGAACAAAAAGUUGAGUUGGAACGUUUAGAAGGGUGAUUGAUCUUUCUGUUUGAGAGAGAGAGAAAAAUUAGAAGACAGAAGAUGCAGAAAGAGAGCGAUAAGAAAAGACAUAGGUGCAAGCUCAUCACUCAAAGUGUGAUGGCUUUCCUAGACUGUCUGAAUGUUUUGACCAAAAAAAAAAAAAAAAAAAAAAGACUGUCUGAAUGUCAGACACUCAUCUUCUUCUUCAGACAUGGUGAAAGCUAAAGCAAGAAAUGAGGCAGAGGUAGCUUCAUCUGUCGAAACUUCUGAUAGGAGUCUAAACGUGUCGAGUAAAUUGACAAGGAAACUGCCGGUGAGCUCAGGGAAAAGAGGCGGAGUUAACAACCACGACAUGUAGUUACAAGUCUUUUUUUUAACUUUGUUACGUUGUAAAAUUGGGUAAUCUUGUGUACCAGUAAACUCUUAAAAGAAACUUGAUUUGCGUCUCGA